AGUUGCGGCUAUAUCCUGGUGAAAAUACGGCUCCCGGUGAUCAGCCAUAGUCAAGCACCAGAGAGAGCCUAGUUAGUAUUGUAGCGUGAGACCAAACGAGAAUCCUGGAUGCUGCAAUUG
rfam:Yarrowia lipolytica strain CLIB122 chromosome D complete sequence.